UCCCAUGCUGUAGCAUUUGUGGAGGAUAUGUGUUAGAAUAGAGUCAUCACAUGAUGGAAGGAACCUGGGUUCCUGAGUCACAGGGUGGAGGAGAGUCACAAAGGAGAGUCAUCUGGCCUACAUCAGACUAAGACAGAUCUAGCCUGUCCCAGUUAUGACAUCUACAGUAUAAAAGCUUGGACUAGUCAUUUGCUUUAUCUGCUACGAAAGACAGAACUUACCUUUUCCUGAAAUCCAGAAGAAGCGUUGAUCAGUGGUGUUACACUUUAGGAUGUGUCCUCUCUAAACUGAAGUUCUCAACUCUGAUGUUACCAGAAGAGCGCGGAAACAGCUAUCGGGCUAAUGCUACAGAACUUGAACAGUGACCAGUGACUUCAAAUCCCAUUGUUGAGCUCUGACGCCUCCUUUUACAAUGG